GUCUUGUGAAGUCGGCUGCCCCACAAAAAGGGAGAAAAGAUGCUCUCCUGACCUUCAGAUGCUCUCUGUGGGUUUGCUGUAGUCCAGUGCCUUCAAAAAGAGCCUCCCUUUGCUGACCUCCUCGGAGCUGGAGACCACUCAGAUGUCACCAGCUUAGGUGCUUGUCGUCCAACGCACACUGCUGUCCAAGGAGGAGAAGCUAAUUUUGUAAUAAAAGCUUUGGCGAGUCUGGAUCUGCUCCACUGUCACAGGCUUCUUGUGUGACCCCAGAUAAAUUGUUUGGGGUAAAAUGUUGCCUCUCUUAAAGGUUUUGUUUUCCUGAUCUCUGCCUCACCAGGCUGUCUGAGGAACAUGGACUCUCAGUGCUGAGGACAGCUGUGGGACCAGGAUCUCACCCAAGACCUACAGAAAACACCUACAGAAUUAAGGGCACAGCAUCCAGGGCAGGCAGAGGAGCCUGGCCAUGCCACACACGGGCAUCGUUCUCGCUACCUGCACGCGUCCCAGCUGCUGCAGCUGAAGGAUUUGUUGCCUGAUAGCUGAACUUCUACAGCAGUGCAAUAUUUGGUCCUUUUGGCUUCACUCCCUUACCUUGCGUUUGCCAUCCAACAGUUGUCUUUGAGGGAUGGAAGAGAAAUGUCAAACCGUUUAGUGUGUGCUUGCUUCCCCUCCGUGGACACGUAACAGUCCCAAAUUAAGUUAUUGCUCAUGCAAAGCAUCUUCUAAUAUAUUCAACCCAUACAUAUUCUGUGUAUAUCCCCAUGUAUGUUAUGUGCUCUGAUAUAUUUAGCUCUUCAACAUCAUCAUUUAGGGUAAUUCAUUUAAAAUAUUAGCAGCUAUUUAAAGGACUUUUGUCCCGUAAGAUUUGGUUCUUAGUGCAACAAAGGUCAUUUUGUCCAGUAAAUUAGAGAAUCUGUACCAUCAGCAGUUUGCCUUGGUGAUUUCAAAUAUUCUGUUGCACCAUUAAUGCAUUUACCAACAAUAAAAUCAAUUAGAAUAAUUUUACCUCUGAUGGG
rnacentral:lncRNA from 1 species